UCAAACUUGGUCAUUUAGAGGAAGUAAAAGUCGUAACAAGGUAACCGUAGGUGAACCUGCGGUUGGAUCAUUAAAAAAUUCCAACUAAAAGUAUAGCAGCCUUAGUGCUGCUUACUUUUAAACCCUUGUGAACUGUUUAUUGUCUAUGGUGGGUUAAAAGAUCUCUCUUUGUAAGGGAUUGGCUUUAACCAGCUACCCACCUAUUAUUUAAACACUUAUAAAUUUUGUCUUUAAUAAUUCAUUUUUGAAUUCUUUGAAUUUAAAAACAACUUUUGACAACGGAUCUCUUGGUUCUCGCAUCGAUGAAGAACGCAGC
rnacentral:misc_RNA from 1 species